rfam:Cavia porcellus supercont2_47 genomic scaffold, whole genome shotgun sequence.
UUCCUUUUGUGAUUCAUGAAUGUGAUAACUAGGUUUUCACAUCAUUGUGUGACAUGUGCCUCUCUCAGACCUUGUUAAUUAUUGACCGAGUACUCAUUGAUA